GCAUUGGUGGUUAAGUGGUAGAAUUUAGGCCUUCCAUGCAGAAGACCCAGGUUCUAUUCCUGGCCAGUUCA
rnacentral:tRNA from 1 species